GAUGAACGCUGGCGGCGUGCCUAAUACAUGCGAGUCGAGCGAAUGGAUUAAGAGCUUGCUCUUAUGAAGUUAGCGGCGGACGGGUGAGUAACACGUGGGUAACCUGCCCAUAAGACUGGGAUAACUCCGGGAAACCGGGGCUAAUACCGGAUAACAUUUUGAACCGCAUGGUUCGAAAUUGAAAGGCGGCUUCGGCUGUCACUUAUGGAUGGACCCGCGUCGCAUUAGCUAGUUGGUGAGGUAACGGCUCACCAAGGCAACGAUGCGUAGCCGACCUGGGGGGGUGAUCGGCCACACUGGGGCUGCGACACGGCCCAGACUCCUACGGGAGGCAGCAGUAGGGAAUCUUCCGCAAUGGACGAAAGUCUGACGGAGCAACGCCGCGUGAGUGAUGAAGGCUUUCGGGUCGUAAAACUCUGUUGUUAGGGAAGAACAAGUGCUAGUUGAAUAAGCUGGCACCUUGACGGUACCUAACCAGAAAGCCACGGCUAACUACGUGCCAGCCGCCGCCGUAA
rnacentral:rRNA from 1 species